UGCACUUUGCUUCUCUACUAGUAUGUCCUAGUUAAUUUUGAAGCCUCAACAACAACAUGCUUUCUUUAGUUUCUCAUUCUUGUCUACUUCUGCUUAUGUUUCUGGAGUAAUACAUUACUAGCGUGCUAUAAAUUUUCCCUUCCCCUUUUAAAAUUAAUUGUUCCCUAUGUGUGUACUCUGUCAGUUACUUGUCGUAUACUUGUUACCUUAUGAAUCCCGAACCCUCAUAUCCUAUAUAUGUGUUUAUUUGGCUGGUUUGUGGCCAUGCCAGCAUCAGCUAUUGCUGUGCAUUACUAGACCAGGCCCCUGCUGGGGUUAUACAAUGUAUCCCAAUGAUCUCUUGCCCCUUUGAAUAAGUACUCAUUCUGUGUAGUUUGAGUUUUACUACUACAACUGCUUUUCAAAUCACCCUUACAACUUACUAUUUUAACCGGUUUUAAUAAAUAUCUUUCAAACACGUGUCCUGCACUUCCACUAUAUUCUUAGAGUCUAGGUUCUACCACUCUUGUGUGAGCCUUGCCUUGGGACUCUUGAGCUCCCUCUGAACUUGGACACAUAAGGGCUAGCCCUUCCACACUGCACUAAUUCUGUUUAGUUAUGCAAAUUUGGGUGUGAGCACUGCCCGGGAUCCCUUGAGAUCCUUAUGGAAUUUUGACAUAUCCAGAUAUGAGAAAAGGCUAUGGAAUAACAUUGGCAUUGAUAUGGUUCAUUGCAUAUCUCAG
rnacentral:lncRNA from 1 species